rnacentral:rRNA from 1 species
GAUAAACGCUAGCGGCAGGCUUAACACAUGCAAGUCGAGGGGCAGCAUAGAUUGUAGCAAUACAAUUGGUGGCGACCGGCGCACGGGUGCGUAACGCGUAUGCAACCUACCCGUCACAGGGGGAUAAUCCGGAGAAAUCUGGUCUAAUACCCCAUAACAUAUGGAUCGGCAUCGGUUCAUGUUGAAAUUUUCGGAGGUGACGGAUGGGCAUGCGUAGCAUUAGCUUGUUGGUGAGGUAACGGCUCACCAAGGCGACGAUGCUUAGGGGGACUGAGAGGUUUUCCCCCCACACUGGUACUGAGACACGGACCGGACUCCUACGGGAGGCAGCAGUGAGGAGUAUUGGUCAAUGGGCGCAAGUCUGAACCAGCCAUGCCGCGUGCAGGAUGACGGCUCUAUGAGUUGUAAACUGCUUUUGUACGAGGGUAAAGUGGGUUACGUGUAACCUUUUGAAAGUAUCGUACGAAUAAGGAACGGCUAACUCCGUGCCAGCCGCCGCCGUAA